rnacentral:tRNA from 1 species
UCCUGGUAGCUCAGAUGGUAAAGAAUCUGCCUGCAGUGCGGGAGACCCAGGUUCAAUUCCUGGGUCAGGAA